UGGAGUUCAGCAUGAGGCUAGAUCUCAUGACCCAUGAGAUCAUGAAAUGAACUGAAACUAAGAAUCAGACACUUAUCAGGCUGAGCUGCCCAGGUUC